UACGUAGGGUGCAAGCGUUGUCCGGAAUUAUUGGGCGUAAAGAGCUCGUAGGCGGUCUGUUGCGUCGGCUGUGAAAACCCGAGGCUCAACCUCGGGCCUGCAGCCGAUACGGGCAGACUAGAGUUCGGUAGGGGAGCCUGGAAUUCCUGGUGUAGCGGUGAAAUGCGCAGAUAUCAGGAGGAACACCGAUGGCGAAGGCAGGUCUCUGGGCCACUACUGACGCUGAGAAGCGAAAGCAUGGGGAGCGAACAGG
rnacentral:rRNA from 1 species